UGGGGAAUUUUGCACAAUGGGGGCAACCCUGAUGCAUCGACGCCGCGUGAUUUAGAAGGCCUUCGGGUUGUAAAAAUCUUUUGUAUAGGAAGAAAAUGACAGUACUAUACGAAUAAGGUCCGGCUAAUUACGUGCCAGCAGCCGCGGUAAUACGUAAGGACCGAGCGUUGUCCGGAAUCAUUGGGCGUAAAGGGUACGUAGGCGGUUAAAAAAGUUAGAAGUGAAAGGCUAUAGCUCAACUAUAGUAAGCUUUUAAAACUGUUUAACUUGAGAGAUGGAAGGGAAAGUGGAAUUCCUAGUGUAGCGGUGAAAUGCGCAGAUAUUAGGAGGAAUACCGGUGGCGAAGGCGACUUUCUGGCCAUUAUCUGACGCUGAGGUACGAAAGCGUGGGUAGCAAACAGG
rnacentral:rRNA from 1 species